rnacentral:rRNA from 1 species
AGAGUUUGAUCAUGGCUCAGAUUGAACGCUGGCGGCAGGCCUAACACAUGCAAGUCGAGCGGUAGCACAGAGAGCUUGCUCUCGGGUGACGAGCGGCGGACGGGUGAGUAAUGUCUGGGAAACUGCCUGAUGGAGGGGGAUAACUACUGGAAACGGUAGCUAAUACCGCAUAACGUCGCAAGACCAAAGUGGGGGACCUUCGGGCCUCAUGCCAUCAGAUGUGCCCAGAUGGGAUUAGCUAGUAGGUGGGGUAACGGCUCACCUAGGCGACGAUCCCUAGCUGGUCUGAGAGGAUGACCAGCCACACUGGAACUGAGACACGGUCCAGACUCCUACGGGAGGCAGCAGUGGGGAAUAUUGCACAAUGGGCGCAAGCCUGAUGCAGCCAUGCCGCGUGUGUGAAGAAGGCCUUCGGGUUGUAAAGCACUUUCAGCGGGGAGGAAGGCGNNNNNNNNNAGGUUAAUAACCUUGGCGAUUGACGUUACCCGCAGAAGAAGCACCGGCUAACUCCGUGCCAGCAGCCGCGGUAAUACGGAGGGUGCAAGCGUUAAUCGGAAUUACUGGGCGUAAAGCGCACGCAGGCGGUCUGUCAAGUCGGAUGUGAAAUCCCCGGGCUCAACCUGGGAACUGCAUUCGAAACUGGCAGGCUAGAGUCUUGUAGAGGGGGGUAGAAUUCCAGGUGUAGCGGUGAAAUGCGUAGAGAUCUGGAGGAAUACCGGUGGCGAAGGCGGCCCCCUGGACAAAGACUGACGCUCAGGUGCGAAAGCGUGGGGAGCAAACAGGAUUAGAUACCCUGGUAGUCCACGCCGUAAACGAUGUCGAUUUGGAGGUUGUGCCCUUGAGGCGUGGCUUCCGGAGCUAACGCGUUAAAUCGACCGCCUGGGGAGUACGGCCGCAAGGUUAAAACUCAAAUGAAUUGACGGGGGCCCGCACAAGCGGUGGAGCAUGUGGUUUAAUUCGAUGCAACGCGAAGAACCUUACCUGGUCUUGACAUCCACAGAACUUNUUGGUGCCUUCGGGAACUGUGAGACAGGUGCUGCAUGGCUGUCGUCAGCUCGUGUUGUGAAAUGUUGGGUUAAGUCCCGCAACGAGCGCAACCCUUAUCCUUUGUUGCCAGCGGUUAGGCCGGGAACUCAAAGGAGACUGCCAGUGAUAAACUGGAGGAAGGUGGGGAUGACGUCAAGUCAUCAUGGCCCUUACGACCAGGGCUACACACGUGCUACAAUGGCAUAUACAAAGAGAAGCGACCUCGCGAGAGCAAGCGGACCUCAUAAAGUAUGUCGUAGUCCGGAUUGGAGUCUGCAACUCGACUCCAUGAAGUCGGAAUCGCUAGUAAUCGUAGAUCAGAAUGCUACGGUGAAUACGUUCCCGGGCCUUGUACACACCGCCCGUCACACCAUGGGAGUGGGUUGCAAAAGAAGUAGGUAGCUUAACCUUCGGGAGGGCGCUUACCACUUUGUGAUUCAUGACUGGGGUGAAGUCGUAACAAGGUAACCGUAGGGGAACCUGCGGUUGGAUCACCU